AACGCACAUUGCGCCCUUUGGUAUUCCGAAGGGCAUGCCUGUUCGAGCGUCAUUAUCAACCCUCAAGCCUGGCUUGCUGUUGGACCAUUCGUCGGUAAUUCAGACGGGUCCCAAAGAUAAUGACAGAGUCGUGUUGGACCCUAGAUGCAACGAGCUUUCAAUAGCACGCAUUGAAGUGGCCAACCACUCUUGUCUCAACCCUAUUUUUACAAGGUUGACCUCGGAUCAGGUAGGAAUACCCGCUGAACUUAA
rnacentral:misc_RNA from 1 species